UUGCUUCAGCACCACAUAGACUAAAAUUAGAAUGAUACAGAGGCACUAUGGCAGCAUGCCCUCUGCAAGGAUGACACGCAAAUUUGUGAAGCAUUCCCUAUUUUA